UACAUAGGGGGCAAGCGUUAUCCGGAAUUAUUGGGUGUAAAGGGUGCGUAGACGGAGAAACAAGUUGGUUGUGAAAUCCCUCGGCUCAACCGAGGAACUGCAACCAAAACCAUUUCCCUUGAGUGUCGGAGAGGAAAGUGGAAUUCCUAGUGUAGCGGUGAAAUGCGUAGAUAUUAGGAGGAACACCAGUGGCGAAGGCGACUUUCUGGACGAUAACUGACGUUGAGGCACGAAAGUGUGGGGAGCAAACAGG
rnacentral:rRNA from 1 species